CUGUCCCCACAACAGACAUUUUUAUACCAUGGACUAACGGAACGGGUUCCCGAAGCAGACAGCCGCCCAACUCAUUCUGAAGGCCAUCUCCAGCUACUUUGUGUCCACUAUGUCGUCCUCCAUCAAAACUGUGUACUUUGUGCUUUUUGACAGUGAGAGCAUAGGCAUCUACGUGCAGGAAAUGGCCAAACUGGAUGCCAACUAGGCCAGCGUUCCCUAGAGCCAGCACAUGUCGUGGCCCCCACCUCCAACUGGAAAGAAAGAAAAAAAAAGAAAAAAAUCCCCUCGGC
rnacentral:lncRNA from 1 species